UACGUAGGGUGCGAGCGUUAAUCGGAAUUACUGGGCGUAAAGCGUGCGCAGGCGGCUAUUUAAGCUUGCUGUGAAAGCCCCGGGCUUAACCUGGGAACUGCAGUGAGGACUGGAUGGCUGGAGUGUGGCAGAGGGGGGGUGGAAUUCCACGUGUAGCAGUGAAAUGCGUAGAGAUGUGGAGGAACACCGAUGGCGAAGGCAGCCUCCUGGGCCAGCACUGACGCUCAUGCACGAAGCGUGGGGAGCAAACAGGA
rnacentral:rRNA from 1 species